CACUGAAUGGAGGACCGAACCGACUUACGUUGAAAAGUGAGCGGAUGAACUGAGGGUAGCGGAGAAAUUCCAAUCGAACUUGGAGAUAGCUGGUUCUCUCCGAAAUAGCUUUAGGGCUAGCCUCAAGUGAUGAUUAUUGGAGGUAGAGCACUGUUUGGACGAGGGGCCCCUCUCGGGUUACCGAAUUCAGACAAACUCCGAAUGCCAAAUAAUUUAACUUGGGAGUCAGAAUGUGGGUGAUAAGGUCCAUAUUCGAAAGGGAAACAGCCCAGACCACCAGCUAAGGUCCCAAAAUAUAUGUUAAGUGGAAAAGGAUGUGGCGUUGCCCAGACAACUAGGAUGUUGGCUUAGAAGCAGCCAUCAUUUAAAGAGUGCGUAAUAGCUCACUAGUCGAGUGACACUGCGCCGAAAAUGUACCGGGGCUAAACAUAU
rnacentral:rRNA from 1 species